GAGAAGAGAAGAGAAGAGAAGAGAAGAGAAGAGAAGAGAAGAGAAGAGAAGAGUGGAGCCAUGAGCACUGGAGAGAAGGGACAAAGGGGCAAGAGGAAGCAAGGGCAAGAGAGAGUGAGGAGGGGGCAAGCAGUCUCCUUUAUAAUGUCAGGCAUGUCUGGCUGUUGCCAGGUAACUGUGGGGGUAGAGCUUAGAUAGAAUGCUAACAUAUACACUUGUUAAUAAUGUAUCAUUUGACUUUAAAACUGCUCAGUUAUACUGUAACAGGCCCCAAUCUAGUUGGAUUUUAGAAUCUCUAUACAGAGGGAUUCCUGAGUGGGAAGUGGAAGGAGGUGUUGAAAAGGCAUUUGCAUUGUGCUAUGAAGGUUGAGAUACUUGAGACCAUCCCCAUGGAGUGAGGGGACAGCCAGGCAGUCCCACAUCCCCACUGCCACCUUCUCACUAAAGUUGCUUCUCUCCGGACACCAACUCGUUUGUGCAUUUUAGCAUCCUCUUUGGGAAGCCCUUGUGGCACAGGCUUAGAGACUAGAGACUAAGUCACUUUGCAUUGCCAUGUUGACUUGUCUCUCACAUUUAACAUGGGGGUCAGGGUGACUGCAUGAAGCAUAUAGCUAGACAGCAGAAUCGUGUCCACGGUCUUGGUCUCCUGGUUGCUUCCCUUUGCUCUGAGUCUGUUGUCCUCAGUUUAGAAGUAGAAUAGAGGGGUUGGGGAUUUAGCUCAGUGGUAGAGCGCUUGCCUAGCAAGCGCAAGGCCCUGGGUUCAGUCCCCAGCUCCGGAAAAAAAAAAAGUAGAAUAGAGUGGCUGAGAAGGACUCCUGGGCAUGGAAAGGAACUUUUCUGAGAACAUACACUUUUUCCUACCAGAGAAGAGGAACAGAACACUGGAGAGCUGAGGAAGAAAUGACCACCCUUCACUCAGAGGAUCUGCAAAACGGUACCCACAAGGCAUCCCUCUCCUUGCCCUGAGCAUGUAUGAAUCCAGUGCAAUAAUCCAGUGCCCUGCUCUUCUUCAGUUGCCUGUGUGAGCUUGAUCAGACGUCACUUAGACCAAGCCCACCAGGAAGAGCAUUAGAUCUUUGAGAAGGAAGGACAAGAAAAGAGAUGGCCACUAUGACUCUCUGAAUGUGUGAAUAGAGACUAUUUCCAAUUUCUCAAUCAGCAGGUAAAAGGGAAGGAUAUCUUCCGGGAUGGGCUGGAGGACCAAGCGAAUGGAGCUGGGGCAGCAUGGUUGUGAAGCCCAAGGGGGCCUUGGGUUUUCCAAGUUCAAAGGGAAAGCAGCCUCCAGAAGAAACACGGGAAGUUAGAGCAGGCCUCAGUGGAGAAGAGAUGCAAGAAAGUGAAAGAAAAACUCGUGUUGACAGAAGGACAGACGGAAAGGUUUACACAUAAAGAGAAGGUAUUCUGACUUCUCUGCUCAGGACCAGGAUAGUGAUGUAAUCUGUGUGCCUGAGACACAGUGGUCUGGCAAGUAUGGCAAGAAUGUGGGCCAGAGGGCCCUAGGUUACCUCAGGUUGCCAUGGUGUUCCGCCAAAAGCAACAGAGUCAGUUAGAGAAAGAAGGUAGCUGUGCUUCCCAGGGGUGUCAAUGCCUGCUCUGAGGACCAGGACAAAAGAGUCCUGUUCUUUCCUUACUGUGUUGGCCAAUAAGUAGAGUGAGUAGUCAAAUGUAGCAUUUACAGGUAUUUAAUGUCUGGGAACAAAUCAGACAUGCUAGGGUUCAAUUCCCUGCUCCUCCAUUUCCUUGCUGUGUGACAUUGAGGAAACAACCUAACCUUUCUGUGCCUCAUAGUUUUCAUGUCCACAAGGCUCCUUGCAUUUCUCACUCAAAGUCAGCUGGGUAUCAACGCUGUGCUCUGAGGGAAGAGGGUGAUGGGGAGAGGGUCUACCUGAGGCAUCUGAAGAUUUCCUAAGAAGCCAGAAAGGCAGAAUCAAGCCUGGGAACAGGCAAAGCCAUUACUUGGCAGUAGAACAAAAUCAUGCAAGACAUCCAGGGAGGGAUACAAAGCCAAGUGAAGCUUGGCGCUCAGUGGUGGGGAGGGUCACUGGGGACAGGAUAUGGAGCAAAUUAGGGCCCAGGUCACUCAAGAGUUAUUCUUGGGGCAGGGCUUGUAAAGGAAGGUUUUACUCAUUCAAUGUGAAAAUUUGGAAUCUCACUUCAACCUCAAAUCUUCAGAGCAUAAAUGCCUAGCCCUUCGGUUUUCUCGUAAAACACUUAAUCUGUGUCUCCUAAUCUCUUUUGCUUUCCUUCCCUCCUGCCCAGCCUAGAUACCAUUGGUCAUUAGUUUGUAUUUCACUGUUUGCCCAAAACUCUCCAAGUCCCCAGAUUUCACUCCACCAAAAGCAGCACCCCCACCCAGGCCACCAAGUACCCCUGAUCAAUGCCUGACCCAAAGCCCUGUCACUCGGCCUCCUACUGAGCCAGAUGAGGAUCUUAAAAUGCUCCUGACUUUCUGUGCCUUCACAUCUCUGAAGACCCUUAUUCCUACCUUUGGGAAUCAUGUUCCGGGUCUCCUUGUAGGGCUUCCUAUUUCCAGCAAUCUUUUUGUCUUUCUGUAUCUUUAACUCUUCCCUCUCUCCCCGAGUAUGUCUGAAACCUUAGGCAGAUCCACAUUUCUUUCACCCACCUUUUAAGAAAGGAACCUGCAGACCUGGGUGGAGGUGAGAAUGUGAUAAUACUCAGGGUGCCGAGGAAGGAAGGAGAGAAGUCAACCAGAUAAGGAAAACAGGCUACAGCAAGAUCCAUUUUCCACUGCCUGGGACCUUGGCGAGAGAAAUCCCAUGGGAAAGCAAUGGAAGAACAAAAGGACAAAGGGUCCGCACAGGCAGGAUGCCUUUUCCACGAAGGAUGUAAACUCCUCUGGUGCCCUUCCUGUGGGUAGGGCCACUUAGCUCACACACAGUGUAGCUUCAAGCUCCCACAUCAGGUCAGUGAGAUGGUCGGGGAAUGAGAUGGGGCUGGAAAGUGAAGCCUUGGGGUCUUCAGGAGAUGUUUACACCAAGCUAAGGUGGGGCCAGUCUCCAGCCAGUGACUGCAGCAGGCAGGUGGGAAAAGGGCUGAGCUGCCUGGCAAGAGAUAGCAUCUGCACUGAAGGAAAGAAAAAAAUGCCAUCGAAGCAGAUCUCUUCAAACCCAGGAGGUCUAUAGAAAUAGACUCAUCUCAAAGACGAAAUACUGCAAAAAUGAUGCUAUUAAGCAAAACAUUUGCGUGGCAACAAAGCAGGAGGAAAAGAGUUCUCAGAUAAAGUCAGAUAACGAAGGGGCGUGGCCCUCGCAGGAACAACGACACAAAAAAGGACAAAGGACACAGGAAUAGAGUAGGUCUGAAAGAGCCACGAAAGUAGGUGAAGCCAGCAAAUCUUACAGGCCUUUCCGUGGACAUUUAUCAGUGUGCAGCCUUCAGCCCGACACUCCCCCCAUUUUCUUUUUUUACAUAGUCCUACCUCCCAGGAUCCUUUGCAGGUAUGGUAGGACUCACACCUGAAGGAUCAUGGGAAGGUGCCUUGGAAUUGAUGGAGCCUCUGCCGUUACUGCUGGCGAGAGCAGAGGCUGGAAGAGACUCGGGUAAGCCACUGUCCCGGACUCCGUGGGGUCAAGUGGGCCCGAGUACCAUGACGACAAGUCAAGAGGAUAUCAAGGGUACGAGAGUAACGUGAGGGCCUAUGUCACCAGGGGAAGUGAAACUCUGAAGAAAGGAGAUGAGGAGGAACAGCUUUAUAAAGACACACGAGGGAACUGCCCUUGGCAUGAAGGAGGCAUUUUUUUAAGGUCAAUGCUUGCCGGGGGAUUCUGUAUCAGGGGUUUUCCUCUCCUCGGUGGAUGACAGGAAGAUUUUAUUUAAAGAUUAUGCAGUCCAUAGCUGGGUGUGGUGGUUCAUCCUUCUGACUACAGCACUAGGAAAGUAGAGACAGGAGGAUGAUAAGUUUAAGACCAAGGCUGGCCCCCUGCCUCAACAAACAAACAAACAAACAAACAAACAAACAAGAAAACAGGGCUGGGGGUGUGUAAGCCUGUGCAUGCCCUUGGCUUCAAUCCCCAGCGCUGACAGGUCUCAUAAGAUGAGAUUUCCACUUUGUAAACGGGAAAGGAUGAUGAGACAUUGCCAGUCACAUGAGUUUACUUAAAAAAAAAAAAUACACCCUCAGAAGAGGGUGCUGCAUGUGGUGAGGGAGAAGCUGGCUGAAGAGGCUCCUGGGUAACUGUGUGCUGCUUAAUCCACUACAGCCACAGAGAGACCACUGUAAUAUGACUGUGAUCAGAAAACAAACAAACAAACCACGAAAAUAGGUCCUAUCCUUAGGCAAAUCUCAGCAGCCCUUUGGGUUCAAGGUGGGAGGGGAUGUACCACGAACACUUUUAUUUCGAACCAAUGCAAUUUGUGUCUGAAAAGAUAAGAUCAGAAGGGAAGGCUUAUCCAGAACAGGAUUCACAGCUGGAAGGUCCUUGGCGAGAGACGGCAGACAUUUUUACUUGUCACAGUUGAAGACAGAAACACGGCUGGCAGAUAGAGCACAGAACCCACAGCUGUCAAUCAUCCUACAGCAUGUGGGACAGCAGCCUCCUACAGCAAAAACUGUAAGACUGGGGAUAGCUUGGCUUGUUGUUCUUGCAAAGGACUAGAGUUUGGUCCCCAGUACCCAUUCCCAUGGUGGCUAACAACCACAUAUACCUCAAGUUUCAGGGGUUCUGAUGCCCUCUUCUGGCCUCUGCCCACUGUUGGAUUUCAUUUUACCCUUUCCAAGGCUAGGAAAUCCUGAUGUGAACCAAAGCGGGGUCCUUGUCUUGCUUUCUAUAGCAUACACCAACAUGCCAGGCCAGCCCACCUUCAUGGGUGGAGUAUUUCUGGCUCUGAAGCAGUCAGGGAGGCAAAAUACUGGUUAGCGGCUCAGGUGUUAGUCUAGUGCUGUCAGCAAUCUUUACCUGAGGCUGGGAUGUGUUUGUGGUUCACAGAGGUCACCAGGCUUGGAGGAUGUAUAGGCAGAGGAAACGAUACUCUAGAAACCCAACACAAAAGUAACUUUCCGAAAGUCAGAAUGAAAUCUUUAUUAGAAGAAAAACUGGUAAGACUGGAGUACCCCCCACGGGCACCAGAGGGAACAUUUAAACCCAGCUUGUGGUCAAGACUAGAAGGUCUGAAGACUGAGAUGGGGUCUUUUAGCUUUCCUCAGGCUGAGGGAAACCAUAUUAAAUAACACAAUGUGGAGUUUUUGUGUUGUGGGGGUGGAGGGGAAGAUAAAGUGAAAUCUACAGGAAAGCCACACUAAUAGCUUAAAAAAUAAAAAAAAAGGUAUUCUGAAAACCAGCAACAAGGGUCUUGGGUCAUUUAACAUGGGAAACAAGAUAGCAUCGUGCUCUUGUACGUGGGCACAAGAAAGACUAACACAGGAAGAGAAAUGGCUAACUGUUUUUCAUCUUCACGGAGGGGCAAAUUAUAGGAAAUGGGAUGAGAUUGCCACAGAAGGGUAGUCAGGAACACAAAAGCAUUCCUAUUGGACCCUGGGAUGGACACUCAAGUUCUGUUUGUUAAAAAUAAACCACCAAGAAUUGACCUGGCCACAGACAGAGGAUAGAUAUGGUGACUUCUCACCACCAGACCCCUAUUUUACAGUUCCUUCUGCUGAUGCCUUCCCGUGGCCUGGCUAAUUAGUAGCUGGAAGUGGAGGAGGCCAUUGCUCUCCAGUGUCUCUCAAUAAGGAAGUUUUCUAAAUAACCCAUUUGAUAGAUUUUCAUCUCUUCCUUUAUUAGAUUGACUGGUGGCUACAGGGCUGUGUUGACGUAGCUUGUAAUGUUAUAGCAUUUGUUUUUCUCUGUGGAGCCUUGCCAUGAACCUAUCAAUUAUAUGAUGCCUCUGGGCCACCAGGUAGGCCUUCUCUUGGCCAUACUGUUUAACAGCUCCUUUUAUGAGUGGACUGAUAACCAGCACACAUCCCAUGUCAUCCAAACCUGUCAUGCAGAUCAGAGCAAACGAGGAGAGGAAAUGACCUCGGGCUUUGGGUUUACUUCAAGGGCGUGCAUUGGACCCUUGAAUGCCUGUGUGCGUGUGUGCAUGUGUGCGUGUGUGCGUGUGUGCGUGUGUGUGUGUGUGUGUGUGCGCGCGCGCGUGCAUGCAUGUUUUCUUUCAACUUGAAGGUAAAUGUGAGUUUGAACAGGGAGGAGUGUUGGACAAGGAAAUGAGGUCUUCUGAGUUCCAGCCUUGCACAGAAGUCAGUCCCCUGUCUAAGUGACUCAUAGAUGAAGAAAGAUGAACUCUAUUGGAAGCCAUGUCCUAGGCUGAAGGAGUAUCAGGCUUUUGCACUGUUGUGGACUGUCUUGUGCAAGCGCUUUAACCUUUGUACAGUCAUAGCUCCAGAGGGGACGGAAGUAGGAUGGCUUCACCAUUGACUGACUGCUUCAUUUCUUUGUGAAAAUAAUUGCUCAUGUCUGGACGUUCUUUCUGAGCAUCAGUAUUCACCAAUGUCUCAGAGUUUCUCGAGGUACAGACGGUUGGUUAACAAAAAAUCACAGAUGUUCAUAGGAAAUGGUACGCGUUGGAAUGAAAUGAGUCUCAUCAAAGGAGACUUCCAUCCAAGCUUGGUCCUUUCACACAGGCUUGUCACCUAGGCAGUAUGGUGGCUUGUCCCCUAAACCGGAAACCUCACAUCUUCCUUUGAUACUACAGGCCCUGACUCUUAGCCAGCUCCAAGACUCUUCUUCCUAACCCUUAGGUAAUCAAGGGAUGAGUUUUGACUGAAGGGAUGUUAGUCAAAGAAAUUACAGUGAUAUAUGACGAAUCCAGGCCAUGACCUUAAAGACAAAGGCUAGCAUCUGCGUCUUUCUUCUUUCCUCCCCCAGGGCUAGGAUUCAGGCAGGAGAGCAGGGCCUGAGUAGCAACUUCAACCUAAGGCAGAGAGAGCUUUGUGAGGACAAGGAGACUCGGGGUGCCAGAAAACGUGGGUUUCUCUUGUCGUGAAGCCACUGUGUCAGCCUUGGAAUAUUUAUGCUUUGACUAUGUAGGACAGAAGAACAAACUUCCACUCGUUUAGAGAGUAACCCUUUGGGCACUAUAACCUUUGGCUUAGGUGUCUCAUUCUGUGUGUGUGUGUGUGUGUGUGUGUGUGUGUGUGUGUGUGUGUGUGCGCGUGCGCGUGCGUGUGUGCGUGCAUGCAUUCGGGGGGAGGGGGGACAAGCAACUCACACUCUGUAAUGUGAAGUACAUGCAACUCAAAUUUUUCAUUAAUUAACUAAAGGUUGUUAAGCCAGAUGAUAAUGGUCCUCUAGCAUGAGGCUAAACAUCAUGGGCUCUGGAGAAAGACAGACCCACAGAAGGACCAGGUAUUAUCCAGAUGGGCAGGUAGGUAGCAAGGGCCCUUCCCUUAGCAGAUGCUGUGAGGGUCCCAAGAGACCAUACAGGUAAGUGACUAAACACUGGGCAUGUGGCACCCGCAGACACUGAAUAUCUAUCAGCUACUGCAAUUAUGUAGCUCCUCUUUAGGAGCUGGUGGUGAUGCUGAGGAACGGGGGUGGGAGGGUGUACUAGAAUCAUUCUAGAAAUCUAAGUCACCUGCUAAGUCAUCUGGAGUCUCAUAGCAGUGAGCCACAGUCUCGGGUUACUGGCUCACUUCCCAUGACUUACUUAACUUGGUUUUUCAUACAGACCAAGACUGCCUUCUUAGCACCAUCCCCAGUGGGCUGGGCCCUCACGUAGGUCAAGAAAAUAACCUCUACAUGCCUAUAGACUUGCCUACAGGCCAAUCUUACAGCAACAUUCUCUCAGUUGAGAUUCCAUGUUCCCGGAAGACCAUAACUUGUGUCAAGUUUACAAAAAAACACCCAAAAAAGCAAAAAACUAGCCAACGCAUGUAUCAUUACAUUAUUACAUUUCUGGUGAUUGGUUUCUAGAGGAAGUUUGAGGAAGAAAAGUAAAAUUCUCCAUGCAGCUGUGGACUUCAGUUUCUCAACGGCACUGUCUGCUCUGGCUUCUCUUCGGGAAACAGGAAUAUGGGAUUCUCCUCCUCUCUGACAGUCAUCGUCAUCCUAGCUCAUGAGGGUGCCACCAGGGCAGAUAGAGUCAAAACCUGGACCCCGGCAGCCUUAGUGAUCUAGGCCCAUCCCCUCAUCCUCAAUGGGCCAAUUAAAGAGACAAGCAAUAUUAAAAGGCAGAGUAUUUAUUCCAUGUGGCCAUUGGGAAGAGAAACAGAGAGGUGCAAUCCCACCCCCAACCCCCACCCUCACCCCUCAAUCCUCUUCCUUCACCUUCUCCCUACCCCUUAUCUUCAGUCCUGAAGGUUUAGGUUUAAACAAAGAGUUAUGCAUAGAUAAGCAAUCUGGGUCAAGGUUCCACCUGUCAUUGUCUCUAGUCAUUCCUUCCCACAAGGUGUUCUAAUGAGUUGUCCGAACCCUGUCAAAUCUUUUCCUGGAGACAAGCUCCUCCUCGGGCUGCACUAAGAUUUAGCCCCUUUUCUUCUCCUAGUGUGAGAGUCUUAGGGAAAAUAAAAAUGUCUUGAGUUCCAUUGUCUCAAGCAUCUGAUAGCUGAAAGGAAGGUAAAAAUAUCUCUCCUUAAAUAGACGAUCUCCACCCUGCAGGAUUUUCAGUGAUGGGUCUUGAGGAGGUAGAACUUUGAGAAAUACACAGAGUUAAAUCGUCCUGGCCCCUUCUUUAGCUCAAGUUUGUUCUAAAACUCUGUAGAGAUCCCUUCAUUGUGGGGUGUCAGGAAGGUGCCAAUUCCAGGAGGCUCCUACCAAAUUUGUAAACAAAGGAGGUAGUCCUUUGCCUGCUUGGGCUGGUGUCUUCUGGAAUGUUCCAUUGUGACCUUUGAUCCUUCAAGGAAGUAUUAGAAUGGGAAGCUGCUCUCUUCUCACACACAAUGACGAUCCAGUGCUCUAGCCACUCUAAGACUGGCAGGGACAUAGAGCUGGCCAAGUGGACCAGCUGCUGUCCAGACACUAAGCAAGAAGCUCUACUGGGUGCUACGGAAGAAACCUUUCCAGGGAAGGGUUCUAGAGCACGAAGAGACUCCUAAGGACAACAAGCAUUAACAGAAAACGUACAAGAGGAAAGUCAGAUUAUCAUCCCAUCCCCAACUCCACCUCCCAAAUCACCAGUUGACCACACGAUGUCAUCCAGAGGAGGAGAAUCCAGUCACAGCUGGGCGAGUUUGACCCUAAUGGGGAGCCAUUAGGAUGAGGAAGAGUGGGACCCACAGGUGCUCAAAUUAGAGCUGCAUACGGAGUCUUCCACCGUAACCCUGACAGCAUGAAUUAAGUCUCCUGCAGAACGGAGCAGGAUCUGACAGCCCCAGAGGUCCUGGCUCCCUCCCCUUUCUUGUUCCUGCUUCUCUUAGAUUUGUGAAGCUCUUCCUGUGUGCCAGGUGGUGUUCUAAACCAGGAGCGGCAAACACAGCCUGUUUACCAGAUCUGGUCCAGCACCUGCUUUUGCACUAGACUAUCCAUGAACUAAGAAAGGGGUUUUACAUUUUUAAAUGCUUGCAAAAAAAAUUAAAAAAUUUCAUGACACAUGCAAAUGACUUGAAAUGCAAAUUUCUGUGCCCAGAAAUAAAAUCUUACUGGUGGGUCAGUUAUAUUC